UUUCCAACUUUCUCUAAGGCA
rnacentral:piRNA from 1 species